UGCAGGAGGGCAUAGCUGAGGCGGGGGCGAGGUGGCCGGGGUUGGAGGCAGAGGAAGGUGAGCUUCCGAGAGGCCGAAGGCCGGCCGUAAAGGAGAUCGGACCCCAGGGGACCCAGGGUAUCGCAGAGAGCAGGCGUCCUCCCUUCGGCUCCACGGUGCGCUUCAGAGCUCCCAGAAACGCGGCACAAAAGCCCAGGAAGCGGGAGCAGGGAACUGGAACCGCCAGCCCGCAGGGGGGCACAGCUUGGCCAGAGCUGUGCCUUUGCUCAGGCCGCUUCCAGCCUCGGGCACCCCCAGCUGCCUGGCUCCGGGCUGUUUACUUAACCGAAGGUAGUUUUCUCCGCGGGUGUCCUCGACCGACUUUCCGUGGAGGCUUCCCCGGAAGACGUUGGUAGCGAAGUGCAGAGACCCCAGCUCGAGUGUUGUGCGCGCACAGCAGCCGGGCAGCAGGCCUGUCCUGGGACACCAGGGAACCAUGAGCAGCCGGGCACACCGAGUGUCCCUGGGAGACUCCUGGAGCCAGCGAGUGCACCCUGACAUAGAAAGCGAGAGGCGUCGGCAGGCCUUCGAUGUGGAGCGACUUACCAACCUCCUGGACAGGGGUGCCCGGAACACCACGCUGCGCCGGGAAGUAGAGAGCCUCUUCCGCAGUGACCCAGCAUUCAGUCUUGUCAACACUUACUUCAUGACGCAGAAAGAGCAUUUCCAGGCUGCCGCUCAGAAAAGAUUCCUCUUGCACAAGAUGGCCCAGCGCCUGAACUGGCCAGAGGAUGGGCUUGAGAUUGAUUACGCAAGGAGGGCCCUUUCUGGAGAUAUAAUUCUUGGGGUGCAUACUGUUGCCACGAAAGCCAUCAUCAGCCUGGGCUCAGAAGAGCAGAUUGCAAAAUGGGUCCCCCUCUGCAAAACAUACCAGAUCAUCGCAACAUACGCACAGACAGAAAUGGGACAUGGGUCAUACCUUCAGGGCCUGGAGACUGAAGCCACCUAUGACGCAGCCACCCAGGAGUUUGUGAUACACAGCCCCACAAUAACUGCCACAAAGUGGUGGCCUGGAGACCUGGGAUGCUUGGCCACCCAUGCCAUUGUCAUGGCCCAGCUGAUCUGCUCAGGAGCCAAGAGGGGCAUGCAUGCCUUCGUGGUGCCCAUCCGGAGCCCCCAGGACCACACCCCGCUGCCAGGAAUCACUGCUGGGGACAUCGGACCCAGGAUGGGCCUGGAAAAUGCAGACAAUGGCUUCCUGCAGCUGGACCACGUGCGAGUUCCUAGAGAGAACAUGCUAAGCCGCUUUGCACAGGUCUUACCGGAUGGCACCUACAUCAGAUGUGGGACAGCACAGAGCAACUACCUGCCCAUGGUGGUGACCCGUGUGGACAUUCUGACGUCGGUAGUCCUGCCCUCCCUACAGAAGGCCUGCGUCAUCGCCACACGCUACUCUGUCAUCCGUCGCCAGGGCCGGCUGCGACCUAGUGACCCAGAGGCAAAAAUCCUGGACUACCAGACUCAGCAGCAGAAACUCCUUUUUCCACUGGCCAUGAGUUACGCCUUUCAUUUCCAGGCCGUCAGCCUCCUGGAGUUCUUCCAGCACGCCUACAACGCUGUUCAGAGCAAUGACACCAGCCUCCUGCCCGAGCUCCACGUAUUGACCACGGGUUCCAAGGCCAUGAUGACAGACUUCUGCGCAUAUGGAGUAGAGCUUUGCCGCAGGGCCUGCGGUGGACAUGGCUACUCCAAGCUGAGCGGCCUGCCAUCCCUGGCCACCCAGGUGGUGGCCUCUUGCACCUACGAGGGCGAGAAUACAGUGCUCUACCUGCAGGUAGCCAGGUUUCUGAUGAAGAACUACCAGCAGAUUUGGGAGACUGAAGGUGCUCACUCCCAGAGGUCUCUGCCUCAGUCUGUCCAGUAUUUCACCAUGGUUCACCAUGACAAGUGCCCAGCCCAGAAUGCCUCUGACUUCCUCCUCCCAGAGAUCUAUACCACAGCCUGGGCACACACAGCGGCCAGGCUCGUAGAGGACUCAGCACGUCACCUGCAGGUGCUCACGCAGUCCGGGGCUGACCAGCAGGAUGCCUGGAACCAGACAAGUGUUAGCCUUGUCCAGGCUGCCAAGGCUCACUGCUACUAUGUCACUGUGAAGAGUUUUCAGGACGCCGUGAAGAAACUAGACAGUGAGCCAGCGAUUCAGCUAGUGCUCAAACGCCUCUGUGACCUCUUCGCCUUACAUGGUAUCUUGGCUGACUCAGGCAUCUUUCUUUAUGAUGGCUUUCUGUCUGGCCCCCAAGUCGACAUGGUAAGAACAGCCUACCUGGACCUGCUCUCCCUGAUCCGACUUCUGGGAUGACAAAUGCAGGGCAGGACUCUGACACCAAGGACCAGCUCUCUGUGGUGUUAACAAGCUGUGAAGUGGUCCUGCGGUCUCAGCUGGGUGCCUGAAGGAUGCUGUCUUGUUAACCGACGCUUUUGACUUCACCGAUCAGUGCUUAAACUCUGCGCUUGGCUGUUAUGAUGGGAACGUGUAUGAACGCUUGUUCCAGUGGGCUCAGAUGUCACCAAACAAUAAUUCUCAGGAGAACCCUGCCUACAAGAAAUAUAUCCAACCACUAAUACGAAGUCAUGGAUCCAAGCUAUGAAAUAAUCAACAUUAUUCCAGGACCAAGUGGCACCAUGGUGUUAUAUAAUUAAAUUUAAAAUUAUGUAUGU